rnacentral:hammerhead_ribozyme from 1 species
GCACUGCUGAGGAGUCCCACAAUAGGACGAAACGGCCGUCCACUAC